rnacentral:rRNA from 1 species
GACCGCAGGCGCGACCUUCGGUCUGGCGGCGACUGGCGAACGGGUGAGUCAUACAUCGGAACGUACCCUCUUGUGGGGGAUAACUAGUCGAAAGAUUAGCUAAUACCGCAUACGACCUGAGGGUGAAAGUGGGGGACCGCAAGGCCUCACGCAGCAGGAGCGGCCGAUGUCUGAUUAGCUAGUUGGUGGGGUAAAGGCCCACCAAGGCGACGAUCAGUAGCUGGUCUGAGAGGACGAUCAGCCACACUGGGACUGAGACCCGGCCCAGACUCCUACGGGAGGCAGCAGUGGGGAAUUUUGGACAAUGGGGGCAACCCUGAUCCAGCAAUGCCGCGUGUGUGAAGAAGGCCUUCGGGUUGUAAAGCACUUUUGUCCGGAAAGAAAUCGCGCUGGUUAAUACCUGGCGUGGAUGACGGUACCGGAAGAAUAAGCACCGCCUAACUACGUG